rnacentral:rRNA from 1 species
GUCGUAGUCCGGAUUGGAGUCUGCAACUCGACUCCAUGAAGUCGGAAUCGCUAGUAAUCGCAGGUCAGAAUACUGCGGUGAAUACGUUCCCGGGCCUUGUACACACCGCCCGUCACACCAUGGGAGUGGGAUGCAAAAGAAGUAGUUAGUUUAACCUUCGGGAGAACGAUUACCACUUUGUGUUUCAUGACUGGUGUGAAGUCGUAACAGGGUAACCCUAGGGGAACCUGGGGU